UACAGAGGUCUCAAGCGUUGUUCGGAUUCAUUGGGCGUAAAGGGUGCGUAGGUGGCGCCGUAAGUCGGGUGUGAAAUUUCGGAGCUUAACUCCGAAACUGCAUUCGAUACUGCGGUGCUUGAGGACUGGAGAGGAGACUGGAAUUCAUGGUGUAGCAGUGAAAUGCGUAGAGAUCAUGAGGAACACCAGAAGCGAAGGCGGCUCACUGGCCCGAUACUGACGCUGAGGCGCGAAAGCGUGGGGAGCAAACAGG
rnacentral:rRNA from 1 species